rnacentral:rRNA from 1 species
UACGUAGGGGGCUAGCGUUGUCCGGAUUUAUUGGGCGUAAAGAGCGUGUAGGCGGCCAGGUAGGUCUGCUGUGAAAACUCGAGGCUCAACCUCGAGACGUCGGCGGAAACCAUCUGGCUAGAGUCCGGAAGAGGAGAGUGGAAUUCCUGGUGUAGCGGUGAAAUGCGCAGAUAUCAGGAAGAACACCCGUGGCGAAGGCGGAUCUCUGGGCCAUUACUGACGCUGAGGAGCGAAAGCGUGGGGAGCGAACAGG